CGCACGGUACGCCAAUUGGUAGAGCGAUCCGACUUAAACCCGGAUUAGUGUGGGUUCGACUCCCACUCGUGCGA
rnacentral:tRNA from 1 species